CUGUUCGGACAUUUGGAAAACUUGGCUAGUGCAUCAAUUCAGUAUCAAUGACAGUGGAGAGAUGAUCAUGGGUGACAAGCAGCUCUCCUGAAUGGUAAAGGAAAAAAAAAUACAGCCAUCAAAAAGUUCAAGCAGCAGGAGGCUCUAAAGAAGAGAAGUGGCACAUAACCUGACCUAGAAACUAGGGAGAAUAGAAGAAGCUUAUUUUGUUCUGUUGAUCCAGAUGCUGAAAAUGCACAACACAUGGAAAUGGAUGCCUCAGGAGGAAUUAGAGAGGGAACAUUAAAUGGUCUGAAUUGCGGCAAUGAGUCCUUCUGAUUUUUUCCGCAAAUGCUGCUGAAUUAGGAGCGCCAAGAGAGAUGGGCAAAGUGUUGGUCUUGGCCUGUAGGGAACUCUGCCUGCAGGUGUCGCAGCGCUGAAGAUCUCAAGUGCCCGCGAUGUGCACUCUUCAUUUGGCUCAUUUAUCCUUGCAUGUGCAAAAUUAACCGGCAGUUUUGCAUAAACUGUAGAAGUUGGUUAUUAUCCCCACAAAAGAGGUGGUUAAUGGUUAUUAUC